rnacentral:lncRNA from 1 species
UGCUGAUGCUCUAAGAGUCUGAUACAGGGCAAGCUUGCAUAUCUCUGCUGAUGCUCUAAGAGUCUGAUACAGGGCAAGCUUGCAUAUCUCUGCUGAUGCUCUAAGAGUCUGAUACAGGGCAAGCUUGCAUAUCUCUGCUGAUGCUCUCAGAGUCUGACACAGGGCAAGCUUGCACAUCUCUGCUGAUGCUCUAAGAGUCUGAUACAGGGCAAGCUUGCACAUCUCUGCUGAUGCUCUCAGAGU